rnacentral:rRNA from 1 species
GACGAACGCUGGCGGCGUGCCUAAUACAUGCAAGUCGAGCGAGACUCUUCGGAGUCUAGCGGCGGACGGGUGAGUAACACGUGGGCAACCUGCCUGUAAGACUGGGAUAACACCGGGAAACCGGUGCUAAUACCGGAUAAUCCUUUUCCUCUCAUGAAGAAAAGCUGAAAGUCGGUUUCGGAUGACACUUACAGAUGGGCCAGCGGCGCAUUAGCUAGUUGGUGAGGUAACGGCUCACCAAGGCGACGAUGCGUAGCCGACCUGGGAGGGUGAUCGGCCACACUGGGACUGAGACACGGCCCAGACUCCUACGGGAGGCAGCAGUAGGGAAUCUUCCACAAUGGACGAAAGUCUGAUGGAGCAACGCCGCGUGAGCGAUGAAGGCCUUCGGGUCGUAAAGCUCUGUUGUUAGGGAAGAACAAGUACCGGAGUAACUGCCGGUACCUUGACGGUACCUAACCAGAAAGCCACGGCUAACUACGUGCCAGCAGCCGCCGUAACAC